GAUGGACGCUAGCGGCAGGCUUAACACAUGCAAGUCGAGGGGUAUAGUUCUUCGGAACUAGAGACCGGCGCACGGGUGCGUAACGCGUAUGCAAUCUACCUUUUACAGAGGGAUAGCCCAGAGAAAUUUGGAUUAAUACCUCAUAGUAUGUGAGAAUCGCAUGAUUUUCACAUUAAAGUUCCAACGGUAAAAGAUGAGCAUGCGUCCCAUUAGCUAGAUGGUAAGGUAACGGCUUACCAUGGCGACGAUGGGUAGGGGUCCUGAGAGGGAGAUCCCCCACACUGGUACUGAGACACGGACCAGACUCCUACGGGAGGCAGCAGUGAGGAAUAUUGGACAAUAGGCGCAAGCCUGAUCCAGCCAUGCCGCGUGCAGGAUGACGGUCCUAUGGAUUGUAAACUGCUUUUGUACAGGAAGAAACACUCCCUCGUGAGGGAGCUUGACGGUACUGUAAGAAUAAGGAUCGGCUAACUCCGUGCCAGCCGCCGCCGCGGUAA
rnacentral:rRNA from 1 species